CGCAGAAGCCAUUUCUAAGAAAGCCUGGCUUCUUCCUUUCAGCAUCAAAUGGUUAGUUACUUUGCCAAACGGAAGUCCUAAAGCAGACACCACUGUAGAAGGACCAGAGCUGUUCCUGGUAGAAGGGCUGUUACUGACACCGCAACAAAGAAGCUCAUGAAUCUCUGCCAUCCAUGGCCCCUGUCGCCUCCAGCGCAGGAAGCAGGCGGUGACAGCAAGGCGGCUCCGGGAAAGCUGCCAUGAACUCAGAGUUUGCUCAACCAAACUCUUCUGCCAAGACAUUUCUACCCUGAAGCCAGCUGACUGCAGAAUGAAACCACUGAAACCACUGGCCAAAUAAUCCUUUUUAGCUUUAAGUUGAUUGACAUUUUGUCCCAGCAAUGGGAAAGAAA